ensembl:processed_transcript 1110018N20Rik RIKEN cDNA 1110018N20 gene
GGGGGGCGGGGAGCUCUGCAGGCCGCUGUGGUGCAGGGGUGCGCGAGGGCGGGCGUCGCGGCUACCGUCUCACCUCCAUCCCGACGGCUGCGAGGCAGAAAGCGAAAGCGGACACGGAAGAUUUUGGGCCGAGUGAGGACUGUGGAGGCUACCAGAUGCCCACCUGUCGGAGGCCACCAGGCUGCCCUGUCCUGGGGCGACCCCACUCCUCACAACACCAGGACCCGAGACCGCUCCGGAGACCAGGAGAAAGCUUCGGUCAAUCAUGAGUACUACUGGGGAGUCAUGGGGGCAGGGGAGGCCAUGCUGAGAGCGUAACCCAGGAGCUCAGCAGGGCCUCUCAGAAGUAAGGACAGACUCUACCACCAUGGAGGACUGACCAGAAUGUGGGUAGCAUCUGCUAGUGGGGGACCAGAUUAAACAGUGUGGAAGAAGGAAGACCACUUGCCCUUGUUGGCCUGGCCUGGCCUCUUGCUUGAAGCGUUGGACGAUGAUGAUGACGAUGAUGACGACGACGACGAUUCCUCCACUGAAAACAGAAGCAGCAGCCAUUUCAGGUUUCCAUCCUGGACCAAGGACCUUCAAGUCUCCAAGAACUUGCAGAUUUUUGGUGCAGGAUUGAUGACUACUGAGGCACCUCCAGGACCAGUCAGCUCCCGGAUUCCCAGCCUCGGUGUUGAGACUAUUUCAGAGUGAGCUGAUGACAUGCAUUCUCUAAUAUAUUUGGUAUAUAAAAUGUUUCAUAUUUAAUAUAGAAAAUGUGGGAUCCCAUCAAUUCUGUUCCUCCAGAAAAUUCCAGCUUA